UUGCCAUUCUGACUGGCGUGAGAUGGUAUCUCACUGUGGUUUUGAUUUGCAUUUCUCUAAUGAUCAGUGAUGUUGAGCUUUUUUUCAUGUUUGUUGGCUGCAGAAAUGUCUUUUGAAAAGUGUCUGUCAUAUCCUUUGCCCAGUUUUUGAUGGGGUUGUUUUUUUUGUUUUGUUUUGUUUUUUAUAAAUUUGUUUAAGUUCCUUGUAAAUUCUGGAAAUUAGUUCAACCAUUGUGGAAAACAGUGUGGUGAUUCCUUGAGGAUCUAGAACCAGAAAUACCAUUUGAUCCAGCCAUCCCAUUACUGAGUAUAGGAGCUCAAUAACUGCCAGGCAAGUUGCUGCAGCCAUGAUAUGGUGUAGCCAUUGGGAAGU
rnacentral:lncRNA from 1 species